UAAGGGACGUUAAGGCCCAGUUUGGAUUCAAGAAUCACUCAAACUCAUCUCAUCUCAUCAUUACAACUUUCCCAAAUUUCCAUACAAAAUAUAAUAAACAAUUCAACUUUUUCAAAUCUCAAAACAAUAAUUAUAUUAAAAAAUAAUAUUCUAACAACAUUU